CAUCAUAACCUGGCCCCUUUUAGUGUUCUUAUACCUUUCACCACCCACAUAUUCUUUGAUCCAGUGACACACGUCUCCUGGCUGUUCCUCAAACAAGACACUUCAUCUCCCGACUGGAGUCAUUUUCACUGACUGUCCCCCAUGCCAGGCACUCUCUCCCUCCUCAGCUCCAACUCCUAGCUUCUCUGGCCUCCUUCCAGGCAUAUCUGAAGUCACACCUUCUGCUUUGCCAUGUUCUCUUUAACCUUAGAAUCUUUCAUCUGAAACCUAGCCUGUAUGUAUCUUAUUUGUACACAGUUUUUAUAUGUUGUUCCUCACUCCGCCAUUAGACUGUGAGCUCCUUGAGGGCAGAGACUUUAGGGGAAGGAACGAUUGUUAUGUGCCCAGUCCUGACCCUCAACUGCACAGAAACACCAUCUCUGGUCAUAGGUUUGCCCCAAGCUCACUAAACUUCCCCAGGGUAAUUCAGCCCCACCCCACUCACUCCACCGUGCCUUUUCUGAUUCACAGGAGGCUGCUUCUGGUAUUUGGGCAUGAGAUGCCGAGAGCCCUCAUCCACUCCCUAAACCAUGCGAUGCCCUCCCCCUCUCUACGUGCCCUAUCACUCCCUUCUGUGUGCCGUCUCCCAUCCUGGUCCACCUGGUCCCCUGAUUCCCCAUCAGAAUGAAACUCCAGCCUGUAAACCCCAGAAUCCAUAUGGUAGAAUACCUGAUACCUCCUAAUGCAGUUACCUGAAAGUGACUUCUCACCUACCUGGAGCUCUGCCAAUCACCUGCCCCACCCCUGCUCAGACAGACACCCUAGAGCUGGGGAGGACAUGGUGAAGUGGAAAAAUCACUGGAGUUGGUAGAAGCUUAGCUCUGAUACUAAUUGGGCCAGUCAGCCUCUCUGAGCCUCAGUUUCCUGCUCUGAAUAAUGCAAAUAACAGCAUCAAUGUCCUCUUACUCAAGGGAUGGUUAUGGAAAAUAACACUUAAAGAGCAAAAGAAAUGUGUAGUAUUAUUAUUUCCCUGGACCUUGGGCAAAUGAUAAAUCAUCC
rnacentral:lncRNA from 1 species